rnacentral:rRNA from 1 species
UGGGGAAUCUUGCGCAAUGGGCGAAAGCCUGACGCAGCGACGCCGCGUGGGUGAUGAAGGCCUUCGGGUCGUAAAGCCCUGUCAAGGGGGAAGAAAAAACGGCACUACCGUGUCGUCCUGACGGUACCCCUGAAGGAAGCACCGGCUAACCCCGUGCCAGCAGCCGCGGUAAUACGGGGGGUGCAAGCGUUGUUCGGAAUUACUGGGCGUAAAGCGCGUGUAGGUGGCGCAGCAAGUCUGGAGUGAAAGCCCUCGGCCUAACCGAGGAAGUGCUUUGGAAACUGCUGUGCUUGAGUCCUGGAGGGGCAGAUGGAAUUCCCAGUGUAGAGGUGAAAUUCGUAGAUAUUGGGAGGAACACCGGUGGCGAAGGCGGUCUGCUGGACAGAGACUGACACUGAGA